CUGCAGCAGAAAUUGAUUGCGGAAAACCCUUCGUACAAAAAGACUGUCGAGAUUUGUCGCACGCAAGAGCAAGGGAAACAGCAGUUUCUUGAAAUCUGUGAAGCCGCGGAGACAGCGCAGGACACGGCAGUUAACGCAAUGGCAAAGAAAGGGGAUGCAUGCGGCAGCGGCGGCUAUCGCGCACACCGUGGCGAAAGAUGCCCCGCCGCCGGUAGAAGAUGCAAUAAGUGCGGAGGGCUUAACCACUUUGCCCUAGCAUGCAAAUCGGCACCGCCUUCGCUAUCCUUUCCCCACAAGAAGAAAGAACUACGGGAAUUAUGCGCAGACGCCGACGACGAUUUUUUUUUUUGCAAACGUUUACGGUGAGCACGCUCAACACAGACCACUGGACCGCGACAGUGGACAAUGAAGGACAACCAAUGCCUUGCAAAUUAGACACGGGGGCGAAUUGUUGUGUCAUUUCAAGGAGGGACGUCGCAAAGCUACCGGAUCUACCAGAGCAGGCUUGCCGAGUCGCGCUAACAGCAUUUUUUGGCCACAAGGCAACCGCCCAAGCAAAAGUGCGCCUGCGGCUUUCAGCCAAUGAGAGGGUGGUCCUCGAAACAUUUUACAUCAUAGAGCAAAGUGUACCAGUGACUUUGAGCGGUUCAGCAGCCGAACGCCUUGAAUUCAUCCGCUGGGUACAGCACAUUGAUGUCGAUCAACUUUACCCGCCGGCACAACCUUUUGCAGAUGUCUUCACAGGACUGGGGGAGCUCAAGGACUACGAGUACAGGAUAAAACUCAAGCCCGGCGCCGUGGUGUCAUCGUACCGGCUCGGAGAAUCCCCGUGGCCCUGGAGGACAAAACUAGGGCGGAACUUCAGCGUAUGGAGGAUCAGGGCGUCAUAAGAAAGAGACUGAUGGGAAGGCAGGCGAGGACCCUGCUGCCCGUACCCGCAAGCCACCUGGUGCCGGAGACUGCGCCCAACCGAGCCGUCCAUAACCGUCUCCAGGAAAUUCACCAACGCCAGAGAAUCUACUACAAUCGCCGCUCCAGGAACCCGCCACCCCUGUCACCUGGCCAGAGGGUGACUACAUACGAUACCCACGAAAGGACCUGGGCACCUGCGGUCUUUCUCAGGCCAGCUGAGAUGCCGCGCUCCGUGGUGGUUUAGACUGAGGAGGGCCAGGAAAUUAGACGUACUCGCGAGCAUCUGCGAGACGCACCUACACAUACCGAAGAGAGUCCUCGUGACGGGUCCGAACGACUAGACGACGCCCAGCCCGCUCAAGAGCUACGUAGAAGCACAAGGACACGCCGGGAGCCCUGCAGCUACCCACAACCAGAAAGAGCUGUGUAAUUAACUUCUUCCCCAAGAAAAGGGAGAUGUAGCAUGGCUGAGUAACUCUGACGUAACCAGCCAUUUCGUUAAAAUCACGUGACCUGCUACGUCACCAUUCUUUCCUAUAUCUGCUUCGUUUCAACCACAAUAAACGUUGUUCAUCACCCGA